AGCGGGCUCCUCGGCCCCAGCAUAUGGGAGGGCACUGUAGCACGUGAAUUCUUCUUGCUGGAUUCUUUGUAUAUUUCCUGGUCAUUUUCCUUUCAUCUCCUGUGCGUUAAGUCAGAAUCACAUCGCUUAGCAGUAUGGAGGAGAAAUGUGUAUCCCCAGAAAAUAUAUAAUUUUGAGGAGAAAAAAUUUUGAUUUAUAAGAAAAAAUUGUGUAAAAUCAUUGGAUGGGUAAUGGUGUAGGUUAGUAUGAUAAUGCCCAUUUGGUAGCGAAUUUGAGGACGAGGAUACAAAAGGAUGAAAAGUUUCUUCAUUUUUGGUUUCUUCCUUUCUCUUUGAGAAAAGUUGGCUCUCCUGUCCUGGAAGUGAGGAGAUUGAAGGAGUUGAGGGAUUAAAAGAUAAUGACGGAUUGACUGGAUUGACUGGAUUGAACAUCAAAUACUGGUCAGAACGAGAAGGGUGCUCUACAAUCAGGUUGAUUGUAAAUCAGGGUGUUCUAUGAUCAUGCUGAUCUUUGAUCAGAAGUGCUCAUAAAUCAGGAUGGUCGUAUAUCAGGUUGAUCUUUGAUCAGAAGUGGUCGAAACAAUCAAGGUGGUCUACGAUCUUAAGAGGGAGGAUGAAGACUGAUCUCCCUUCAAAUGCCAUUGUAUAAAUUAUUGUAUUUUUUUAAAGUGGUAUUUUAUAUGAAAUAUUUGCUGGACAAGAUUUUAAAAAAACAAUCCCUAUUUAAUGAAAACUAUAAAUAAAUAAUUUUUUUUAUCUGGUCCAAGAAAUCUUUAUAAUUCCUUUUAAAGUAUUUAAUUGUAAGUAAAAGGGUUGUUUUUAUAUAAAGAUUAAAAAGAAUUUAAUUUUAUAAAAUAUAAAUUUUAAACAGUUAUUUAAAAUUAAUUAAUAUUUUAUAUUUUUUUAUUAAAUUAAGGAGUUUAUCUAUAAUCAUUUUCGCACUAUUUUUUUAUAAUAAUAUGUACCAUCUUUUUUCAUAAAUACAUGAAAUUUGAAUUAUUUUUAGAAGGAAUUAAUUUUGUGACUAUUUUUAUAUGUAUGAAAUUAAAUUUUGAGGAGAAAAAAUUUUGAUUUAUAAGAAAAAAUUGUGUAAAAAGGUUGGAUGGGUAAUGGUGUAGGUUAGUAUGAUAAUGCCCAUUUGGUAGCGAAUUUGAGUACGAGGAUACGAAAGGAUGAAAAGUUUCUUCUUUUUUGGUUUCUUCCUUUCUCUUUGAGAAAAGUUGGUUCUCCUGU
rnacentral:lncRNA from 1 species